rnacentral:lncRNA from 1 species
UGAGAGGUGACGACUACCGCGUGACACGGUUGGAUCCUUUAGAAAAACAGACAUCACAGCGACCUCUAGCGAUUUAAUUACUGUUUACGCGUACUGACUAGCAAAUAAAUAAUAUACUUGCAGUCAAUCAAGGUCGGAGCACUGCCUGGUUGUAUUCUCUGGCUGUACAAACCCACAAACAUUCAAAGAGUUUUCACAGGUCCAAUUGCUGAAAGAAAGGAAAGGUCUUCCCUCUAGUGGUGUACACGUGGAAAUACACACCGAAAAGGCCUACAUUUUGCAAGGUCUGAAUGCAGUGGUCUUAGCCUCCUGGAUUGUUGGGCAUGUGUCACUGAGCUCACUGGAUUCUGUCUCUGUCUUUCCUGCACUGGGGAAGCCUGUCAUAUGCAUAAGAUCACACAACAGUGGCAAAAGAUCCCUGUGCAUCAUCGUUUGGGAGCGAUCUAAAAUGUCAAAGGUGUCCUUUUGAUGUCGGGUAUGGGCCUCAUGCAAGGCAGCACCUGUGUGGGACGCCGUAUGCAUUUGUGUGUGUGUGUGUGUGUGUGUGUGUGUGUGUGUGUGUGUGUGUGUCAUAUUCACAUUCAAACUGUCAGGCUGUUCCUUUGGGAGCAAGGGAUACUGAGGAGAGACGAAUGUAAACUGAGGUUGUGCUCUCACAUGCUUCCUCUCUCUCUCUCUUUGUCUCAUUUAUUAAGUGGAGUGAUUGUAAUGGUUUGAGUAUUGAAUGUUUGCAAUGUUGAUCUCUUUGAUCCUGAUACGGUACAAUCUGGCUUACACUGAAGCCCAUCCCACUGUGUGCUGCAAUGCCUGUUUUACUAUCCGUCCAACCAUCACUGUCCUCUCCGCUAUAGAUGAAUGAAUGGAUGCUUGUUUAUGUGAACCUGUGUUUGUGGGCUGAAUGUGUGUGUUUCAGCAGCUGUAACGUGUGUUGCAGAUUCGAAUCUGAACUCAU